GUCAUUUUAAUGUUGUUUCAUUGGUUUAAGUCUGUUGAUGCUGAUUAAAUAAUCUUUACGUUCACCCCUGUCUUCGUGCGCUAUUAUCUACAACCACGACCCGUGACACUACUUAACAUAGGCUGUGUGUGUCAUAAUGUGACUUUCCUGUGGCGCCAGAGUGAUCAGUCACAUGCAUAUGAACCUGAGUGCUCCUGAGUUCAUGCUUACAGCCUACAUACUUACCGAGCAACUGCCAUUGUGAUGAAUGAGGAUGCAAACAGAUUCAGAAACUGGAAAUCGAUUAGCAGGUUUUCAGCGCUCUGCUUGUUUGGACUGAUUUUUAAUAUCCGAGCAUAAACACGAACACAAAGCUCAGGGUGGAGGGUUUCUCAGCAGCCGUCCUGACAAAAUAAUCAAGCACUACAGUGAUGAAUGAUCCCAGUGUUCACUUCCCAGCGAAAAAUGCGCCCUGUUUAUGGAUAUGAGGAUUUUCCUGCAGGUGCAAAGUGUUUCUGCCUCAGGAGAAGAGAGGGAUAUGAGAUUCAAAACAAGAAUUAUGUGAAGGAGUGGAGCUACAUGCACAGAUGCACUUUUUGUCCAGAGAGCAGUUGGCUGUGCUGAAGAUGAUAUAUUGCAUCAUCACUAAAGCUGUCUCAGGCAGAUUGAGAAAUGCGCAGCCACCCUGGUACCUGCAAGCGUGUUGUGGAUGAGGCUGAUAAAGGCCUGGAUUGUCUGGCGGUAAUCAGAACCAGAUGGGCUCGCGGACCCCACACCUCGGCGCUCUCCUCCGUGUCUGCGGCUGCAGUGUCAUGAGAGCGGGUGGGUUCACAGCUGGAUGACCUUUGACCUGCACUGAGACACGGGGAGCCCUGCAGCUGACAGUGUGAGCAGGGGAUCUGAUCAAAUCCUUCACUCUCUGUACUGUUCGCUGUUAUUAUUAGUUUUCAGUCCUGAGAGCGACAAGAGACUCUUUAAGCGACUUAAACGUAAAUGUCAGAGGAGAUCAUACCUGAGAAACGAGACCAGAGUAUUUCAAAUACAGGAAUGGAAGAUCAACCUUGAAGGAGUAGUUCACCCAAAAAGAAAAUGUGUUGUAAAUUUGCUCACCCUCAGGCCAUCCGAGAUGUAGAAGAGUUUGUUUCUUCAUUAAAUUUGGAGAAAUGUGUCAUUGCAUCACUGUUUCAGCAAUGGAUGCUCUUCAGUGCCGUCAGAAUGAGAGUCCAAACAGCUGAUACAAACUAAUCCACACCACUCCAGUCCAUCAGUUAACAUCUGGAGAAGACAAAAGCUGAAACAAAUCCAACAUUAAGACGUUUUUAACUGUAAACUGCUGCUUCUGGCUAAAAUACGAGUCCAUAAUCCAUAAAAACGCUUUCUCCAGUGAAAAAAGUCCAUCUCCUGUUGUCUCUCACAUCGAAAUCCAGUGACAUAUUUGUUUAGAGCUGUUUUGGCUUGUAAACGGUGUUUGAUCUGUGCAGAUAUCUCUCCUGAUUCAGACUAUAGAUCUUCUAGUCUGAUCUAUAUACUUUUUCACUGGAGGAAGCAUUAUUGUGUAUUAUGGACUCGUAAUUUAGUUAAAAAUGUCUUGAUGGAUGUGUUUCAGCUUUUGUCUUCUCCGGAUGUUAACUGAUGGACUGGAGUGGUGUGGAUUAUUGUGAUGUUUUUAAUCAGCUGUUUGGACUCUCAUUCUGACGGCACCCAUUCACUGCAGAGCAUCCAUUGCUGAGACACUGAUGCAAUGCUACAUUUAAUUGAAACAGUGUUUUCAUUUUCAGGAAAUUUACAUUUUUUAUCAGUGCAUUGCUAGUGAGUUGUGUUAAGGGUUGUUCACAUAUACAGCAAGGUGCUGUGAGUUCAUUUGACUCAAUGUUAUGUUUUUGCAAAGUGUGUAUGUCCCCUAGAGUAAGACCUGUGAUAGAAACAUCUAAAAACAUGACAAAAAAAUAACUGCAAUAAAAAUGAUGUUGUCCAUGAACAUGUAGUAUAACCAUCUGACAUCAGUUUGGUCUGGAAUUUAAUGAAUUAGCAGUUACUUAACACUCCAUCACCUGUGUGCCAUCAUUAACAACAGUCCUGGCUCCAGCCACUUACUGUGUGGCAAAAUAGCAACUACUGUCUCCAACGAUCAUCACACAGAUAUGAAAAUAUGUUUGAAGAAUGUUAUGACUGCAAACUUGCCAAGUCCAAAUAGACGUUAACAGUUUGAAGGAGAGAGAUUUGUUUUAAUGCAUCUUGAUGGAUUUGUGGCUUUGUGAAUAAGUGCUGGUGCCAACUUUUAAAGGAGCAGAAACUGAUGUGGUUUCUGUGCAACUCUAGUCUGUUUAUGAAUUGUUUUUGUUCAAGUUAUUUAGAGGCACAGAAUCGUUAGGCAUUAAACACUUGUAUUUUCUUCUUAGCUGUUGAUAGAGAUGAUAGGAUUGUAUGUGUAGUCGACUGGGAAGAAGCCGUUUGCAUACUUGUGGGUGCGUCCGUCGCCUGAGGACACGAGCGGUUGUGAGGUAAUCGACAGCCCGUGGUUUGAGGUGAAUGAGGGAGUUCUCCUUCUGUGUCUUUGACUGUCACAUUAAACCACAGCUUCAUAACAGUCAAUCAGUUUGUAUGAGAGCCCGGUAAAAGAUCCUUUGUGUUCAGCUCGCCUCAGGGUCUCGAUCUGAUUUAUAUCGCGGCUGUCUGUUGUCAGUAUUGCAGACCAUCAAAUUGCUUAGCUGGUUCUGCACGUCCUCAAUCAAAUCUGGAUGUCACCUGUGACGCAGGUGUGUACGGUCGCACAUGCAAAUCACUCUUUUGUUUUAACCACAAAAUG